AGAACUGGCUGUGGCCUUGCUGGGACUUGGUGGGGUUGGUGCAAUGGGUGCGGCUGCUGAACUUAUCAUUGAAACUGGGUUAUAAUCCCUAUUAUCAGAUGAGAAAAUCCUUGGUUAUAAUUUUCUGUGAUGGAAUCAUAGCUCAUGUAAAUUGAAAUGUAGUUUGUAUAAGCAAAUAGGAUUUAUAUAUCUGUAGAUGACGGUUAAAUUUCACUUUGUUGGAUUCUCGAGGUUCCGGGCUUGUGCCAACAAAACGUUGCACAAGCACGGUAACAGGGAUGACUACUUUUUUCAACAAUUAUGUGGCCUUUGGAUUUGGUGAACUUGGCAAAGUUAACGGUCAGGUGUCUCUCAGGUCUUAACCAUGUAUCCUAUGGUAACUGUUAUUGCACGGUUUA
rnacentral:misc_RNA from 1 species